rnacentral:lncRNA from 1 species
GAAGGCGUCUUCAGCUUACACAUCCUGCUCUGGUUGCCUGUAACACACACCCACAACAGUAAACCCCAUGCCAGCCUGCUCCUUAAUUCUCACCCACAGACUCUCAACUCGCUCCUCAUCUGCCCCUGGACAGUACUCAAUACAAUGGAGUUGCUCUCUCAUGAGAAGAGCAGUUCCGCCACCUCACCUUGCUGGCCUGUCUUCCUGAGCAGGACAUAGCCAUCUAUGACCACAUUCUAGCCACGUGAGAAGUCCCACCAUGUCUCUGUAACUGCCACCAGAUCUCAGUCUUCUGACCAAAAAGAGUUUUCCAACUCCUCCUUCUUAUUCCACGUGCUGAAUGCAUUUGUGUCCAGGCACUUCAGGGAAGGAGCUGAGCAUGCUGAUUUCACCCCAUGAGGGGUGGGAGGCCUCCUGGUCUUCAUCUCUGCGGGGGCACUGUCCCACCAGUACAAGCCCUGCUACAACCCCAUCCCCCUGCGGAUAGAGCUUGAAGCUCUCCAAAUGAGCCCUGCUAAUUGCUGUCCCAGAACCCUCUGGACCCUGUGAGAUAAACCUUUCCCAAAGAUUCAUCUCAGGCCUGGUGUCUUCUAACACUGCAGAAGCUAGAGCUGUGUGCUUCAUCAUACAGGGCAUGGCUCAGGUGUGAUUCCCCCUCGGGAGUGUUCCCCCUACUCCACAGGACACCCUGGAGAGAGAACUGCCUCAAGAGUUCCCCUGUACCUGCAGUAGCACCUCUGCUGAGACAUGGGGCUCUGCAGUGCCCAUGUAAAAAACAAGGGCUGGGGAUAUCAGUAGGCCCUGGCCUGUGCCACUACUGCUCCAAGCUCUCCCUCAGACCUUUACUAACCUGUGUCUGGGAACUGAGAAGGGCUCAGUUGUUAAUGCUCACCAUGUACUCAAGGAAGCAAGACACGAGCUCAGGGUCUGCUCAGCAUCUGGGAAUGUCCCAGCAAAGAGCUCCAUAAACUCACAGCAUGUUCAUGUCUCCCACAGGCAGCAGCCCCUCACACAAGGCCCAGCUCCCUUCCAGAAGGUCAGCCAUGCCCCUGGAGGUCUGGAUCCUGCGCUCUGCCCUCAGCCUGCUCCUGCUGCUGUCUGCCCCCAUCAUCACCCUCCUCCUGGAGAGAUGCAGCCACAGUGCCAGCAGGGCCAGGCAGCCUGGAGACAUCCCUGUCCCCAUGGAUCUCUGAUGUCCCCAUGGGCUCCAUGCUGUCCCCAGCCUGCUCCCCCAUGCUCAGAGCAUGACCCCCACACAUAUGUCAGACUCCCAUGACAUGACCCCCAACGUGGCCAGGCUCCAGCUGCCAUUGGG